rnacentral:misc_RNA from 1 species
AAAGUCGUAACAAGGUAACCGUAGGUGAACCUGCGGUUGGAUCAUUUACGAUCUGCACCCUGACAAAGGGUCGAUCCACAACUGUGCACUUAUAACGUCUUUGUCGGCAGGACGAGAUCGAUAUCUCCUAAUUAUUGGAGAUCCGAUGAUAGUCCGCGUCGGAUGCCUCGAGAUUCGUCUCCUGGCUACGGCGUAUGCCGUCUGUGAAACAAACAUCUUACACUUUUGACUGAUCAUAACAUCACUUCUGUGAUAGAAUCCAAAACAACUUUCGACAAUGGAUCUCUUGGCUCUC